rnacentral:rRNA from 1 species
UACAGAGACUGCAAGCGUUAUUCGGAUUCACUGGGCGUAAAGGGUGCGCAGGCGGCCGGGUGUGUGAGGCGUGAAAGCCCGGGGCUUAACCCCGGAAUUGCACCUCAAACUACACGGCUAGAGCAUUGGAGAGGGUAGCAGAAUUCAUGGUGUAGCAGUGAAAUGCGUAGAUAUCAUGAGGAAUACCAGAGGCGAAGGCGGCUACCUGGACAAUUGCUGACGCUCAGGCACGAAAGCGUGGGGAGCAAAAGGG